UCGGACCAGGCUCCAUUCCUU
rnacentral:miRNA from 2 species